GACGAACGCUGGCGGCGUGCUUAACACAUGCAAGUCGAACGAUGAACCCGGAGCUUGCUCCGGUGGAUUAGUGGCGAACGGGUGAGUAACACGUGAGUAACCUGCCCUUGACUCUGGGAUAACUGCGGGAAACUGUAGCUAAUACCGGAUACGACCCUCGGCGGCAUCGCCAGGGGGUGGAAAGAAUUUCGGUCAAGGAUGGACUGGCGGCCUAGCAGCUAGUUGGUGAGGUAACGGCUCACCAAGGCGACGACGGGGAGCCGGCUUGAGAGGGUGACCGGCCACACUGGGACUGAGACACGGCCCAGACUCCUACGGGAGGCAGCAGUGGGGAAUAUUGCACAAUGGGCGCAAGCCUGAUGCAGCAACGCCGCGUGAGGGAUGACGGCCUUCGGGUUGUAAACCUCUUUUAGUAGGGAAGAAGCGAAAGUGACGGUACCUGCAGAAAAAGCACCGGCUAACUACGUGCCAGCAGCCGCCGUAA
rnacentral:rRNA from 1 species